GGAGGAGGAAGGGCAGAGGAGAAGCAGACAAAGCCACCACUGUGAUGUUUGGAUAUCGAUAACGUGUUCAAAGCUAGCACUGUGUGUAGGAGGCUACUGGACAAAUGAAGCCUUAAGGAGACUGGGUGUGGAGAGCUUACACGUCCUGGACCCUCCUCCUGUGUGUUGGGCUGAGAGCUCUCAUGGUGCAUUCUGAGCUCUGCAUUUCUGCAUCUCAUUCCAGCUUGAGUCUUGGGAGAGAAUGGAGUGAGGGAGGACGCAAAGGGAUUAUGUGAGAACAUUGUUCACCCCAUGCCCUAAAUCAGAGCCUCGUUCCUCAAUUAUGGAAGGGCCGGUCACAAGCUGACCUCACAAAAUGCAGCUGAGUGCUCUUGUCACUUAGAGCAGUUUUUCCUUGACCGGAAUAGGACAGUGCGGCUGAGCCAGGCAGUGCGGCUGAGCCAGGCAGGGGAUUCCAGCACGGGCUCACACAGCAGGAUCCCUUCCUCUCUUCCCUACUCUCAGCUUGAACAAGUGUCUGCCAAGAAGAUCGCGCCAGUCACCAGAGAGCAAACUGGGGAGUGGGGAGGGCUGGUGUGCUCCGUGGCUUGCCUGGCGUGUGCAAGGUUUGACCCUCAUUUCCAAAAAUGAGAAACAAAAGACCAGAAGCAACCUCUGAGGCAAACGAGCAAAUCCACUCACCCAGCUGGAACAGUUCCUUCCUCCAGUCUGGAAGAGAGCAGAGCAAACAUCUGAACGAAAUGAAGAUAAACAAGAUGGGAGCCCAGUGCUUUCUCCCCUCACUUUCUCCCUCCUCUCCUUCCUCACUAAGCCCCUCAGACUUUCUAGUGUCCAGAAACUCCCAGCACGCGGGCUGCUCUCUGCGCAUGCGGGCUGCUCUCUGCGCAUGCGGGCUGCUCUCUGCGUUCUCUCAGGGAUGGCUCCCUAGAGACUCAAUGCUACAGGCCCUGCUGGAACAUCUUAAGCAAAUCAUUGAAAAGUCUCACUAGACACUGCUUAGUGAGCUGUUGGAGGUCCCACUGAGUCGACAGCCAUUAAAGUAGGCAUGUAUGAGCUCAUGUGUGUUUAAGAGUUGCUGGCAAGAUUCAGUGCCCAGAAGUCACUUACCGGGGUACAGCAAGGCCAUCUUCCAGUCUGCAACAGAACAGAUUCAAGACUGUUGAGUACUGACUUAUGGCCCCACACAGGAGUCGGUCCCCCACUCCUCUGUUUUCUGCAUGGUCACCAUUAACCUUUCAGUCCCCUCAUCCCCACCCUGAGAAGGUGCUGAGGGGGAGUUUGCAUCACAGAAUCCGAGGUGCAGGACCCCUGGUCUCUUACCCUCUUUGUAUAGUGCCUUCCUCCGAUCUGAAAACAAUAAAAACA
rnacentral:sRNA from 1 species